rnacentral:misc_RNA from 1 species
GGGAUUCAGUCCUUUUUAUUUGGUAGGCUGUUGGUUAUCUCUCCUGCAAUGUCUUUUUUUGGCAGAGCUUUAUCUUAUUUCUAAUUGCAUUAGAGUAGAAUGUAUCUGAAAACUUAAUUUUUGGCAUAUUUAACCCUUGACUGAAAGUACAGGGUUUAUUUGGUUUUUUUCUCCCCUUCCUUUUAGUUUUCUUCUUGCAUAAUCUCUUUGAACAUCAAGUAUUCUCAGGGUGUGAAACUCAUAUUGACUAGAUGAUCUUUGCUAAGUCAAUCACAUAUUCUCUUGGAUACUUGGAAAUGCAUAUGACAUGGGUUUAGUUAAAGAGUGAAUGUGAUUGCUAUCUUGUGAAU